AUUUUGGCGCUGAUUGUUGUAAAUGUUGUUGUCGCUGUUAUUUGGUUUUAUUUGGCAAUUAAAACCGAUUUCCAAAAAUCGCCUCAGGCUCCCCGCAUCGACACUCAGCAUACGCUACCCUCUGCCUCCAACCAGCUGUCGUAAAAGUCACGCACCAUAAAACUGACAGCUGUUAAAAUGUUGAGCGGGAAAUGUCGAUGUCGAUGAGGAUGAGGAUGGGAAACUGUGUGAAUUGUGUUGAAACUAUGCGGAUGAGGAAUGAGGGACACUGAGGGAGUUGAUUUCGCUUUUUGCAGCUAUGUGAAUUGAUCAAGUGAGUUUGCAAAGUGCCAAACGCAAAAUCUAUCGAUGUGCAAUUUGUUCUCAAGUUAAUCAUAAUAUCUAUUUUAUGGAAUUGCAAUCAAUAAAAGCAAACAAUAUCGAUAAGAAAUGAUAUCACAGCAAUUUUUAAAAUUAUUUUAGAACUAUAAUUGGAGGAAAGUCAUU